rnacentral:lncRNA from 1 species
UCUCCCCUGACACAGCUCCAUGCCAUUCCCUCAGGCCCUGUUGCUGUCACAGAGAGCAGAGCUCAGAGCUCCCUGUGAGGAGCUGCAGCCACCAUCAGGUCUCCCCUGAGCUCCUUUGCUCUGGGCUGAACAAACCCAGAGGCUGUAGCUGUUCCUUAUACAUCUGACCCUCAAGACCCUUCAUCACUUCAAACAUCAGGAUUUUGUGAAACCAGGAAUACAUAUUCAUGCUUUUUUUUUUUUUUUUUUUUUUUUUUUUUUUUUUUUUUUUUUUUUUCCUUCUUCUUUCUAAAAAAGACAGAAACCUGAAAGACUCCAGACGGGUAGACUGACCUCCCUAUAAGCUCUCUGAGCAGCAGUGGCAGGUCUGGGACUCAGUUCUCCUAUGUCACAGUAGCUUUUAAUCAUGUGAUUCAUCUUUCUGCAGGGAGAGCUGAUGUAAUCCUUACCCCUCUUAUGAAGCCUUGGCCUCUCUUCUCUUGGACAGAAUUGUUCUUUGGAAAGUAGAAUAGAUGAUGAAAGCUCAGUGGGGGAACACGAGGCAGUUACAAAGAGGCUGAAGUAAAAGAAAGUCAAGAAUAUGAACAAUUCGGAGCUGGUGCUUGUGAUGCCUGGAGAAAAGCACUUCAUGCAAAAGUUGCAGAGAACUUUUUGCUCUCCUCAUUAAUGUAUCGAAGAAGGAGAUUUUUACUCAAAGGAUGUGUACAAAGAAGUCAGGCUGCUUGUUCUGUGGAACCCAGAGUCAGAGGAACGGAUGAAGAAGAAAGAAGUGUGACCCUGUGUGUGUGUUUGGCUUCAUCUCCCCAUGGAUCAGGAGUUCAUUUAGAAAUGUUUCUAGGAAAUGAAUGAA